rnacentral:lncRNA from 1 species
UAACGAGCCGGCGUCGCCGCCAGGGGACGCUCGGGCCGCAGGAAGGUCGCUGGGUCGUGAGCUGGCGCCGGGGACGCCGAGCGACUGCGGGGUUUCCCUCAGCGUCCUGCUAUCCGGCUGCCCGCCGCGCUCCUUGGUAGUGUCCGUGGGAGCGCAGGCCUUGAAGAACCUCCUCGUGGCGGGCCCCCGAGCGCAGGAGAGGUGUCAAAGAGCUGGCGCGUCUCCAGAGCCCCGGGAGGAAGGCUGUAACGGCAGCCCCAUCGUAGACAGGGACAUUCGCAUCCCGAGCCCUGGAUCUCUGAAAACCAGCCCAGAAUUUGGAAGCUGGAAGGAACUUUAGAUCGUCCAUUCUGAGUGUCUCUCUUCGCUGGCGUUUUCCCACUGAGGUUAUGUAAACAUGAAGAGGAGCCUACAAGUGUCAAGGAAAAAACGACAGCUAACCACAGGGCAGGCCAUGGGCAAGAUAUCUCAGUGUUCUCCGCUCUCAUAGGUCAGCCCACAGGGGAGACGGUCAAGCCAGUAUGGGGGCUAAUGAAUAAAUGCUACACUGUGCCCACUCAGGUCAUGACCCCCAGGAGACCUGGAGGACUGAAUGCUGCUGUCCCCAAGGAGGAGGCUGCCGUCUUAUCCCAGGAGGGAGAGCAGGUGAAGUCCCCAGGGGAGGAAGCACCUAGCCCCAUUCCUGCUGAGCAGGAGGUGGCAGGUACCCCAGACUGGGAGGUAAGGACAGCCCAGGGCUUCAACUGAACGUCUCCGGCAUGGGUCCGACUGAGCAGCCAUGGAGCACUGCAGAGUGGGAGGCAGCAGGGCAGGGAGGCAGUGCUGGAGGCUGGCUCAACCCCAAGACCAGCAGGCCAAGCUGCCAUCCCAGGGGAGCGAGGACGUCUGUGCAGAGCUGAGAGGCAGCAGCCAUAUGUGAACAGACUGGGCCUCAUCCUGGCCCCACCGACUUUGUGUGGACAGAGCCUGUUUCCCUGUCUGUGCAACACAGAACCUGCCUGAUCUCACUGCUGGAUCCCUCUUCUUCCUGCCAGGAAAAUAAAAAGGUUCAAAAAGAAGUUGCUGCGUAUCCAUCUGAGGCCUCUGAGGACAGCAAAGAGCAAAGGCCCUGGGACCGGGUCUCCGUGCCCAUGACAGAGCUCUGGCUGGACUGGUUCUGAGCCUCUAACACCCCCAAGACUCAGAACCGUGAAGAAAAUCUUUCCAAUAAAUCCAAGAGUUGCUGCUGCUAUAGGCCAGGCUGCCACCUUUCGGGGCCUCCGUCUUCAGACAAACCCAGCCUGGCUUCAUCCACACUCCCUGUCCCCACAGCUGCAGGAACAGCACUUCCUGCCACGGAGCCGUGUGACCACAGUGGAUUGUCUCUGGAGGGGCCCAAGGGGGCCCUGGCCACCCUUCUGAUUGACUCGGUGCCAGGGGACAGACCAACGUCCCUCUCGUGCUGACAGCCGGGCCGCACCCUGGCAUGAGGGCAUUUACAGAAAUGUUGGCGGAACUGCUGCCAGGGAGGCUGUAGGGUCCUCUGGCAAAAGAGGCCUCAGGUGGCUCCUCAGAGUGUCUGGUUCUCUGUCCCAGGCUGUUCCCUAAGAAGGUCUGCCCAGGACUCAGGUAAUCAUAUGCUCAUUAGAAACUCUUGGGCACUGCCUGUGUGCCCAGCCCAGCCCCUUAUGUCGGUGAGGACAGACGUGGAGGACAGCAGUCCCUGCCCUUGGUUGGGGCUCCAGGCCAGCAAGGGCCACAGCCCCAGAAGGCAGAGCAGGAAGACAGGACUCGGGGCAGGUGAAGCAGCCUUCUCGUUGGCAGAAGGGAAACAGAAGCCCAGGGUGGGGAAGGGUGGGCCCGGGGUCACAGGGGGUAAUGGCGGGCCCGGGGUCACACGGGGUAAUGGCAGAGCCAGGACUAGGGUCAGGGUCUCUGGCUCUCAGCUGCCCAUGCCACCUCCUCCUCCUCUGCCCGCCCCAGUGCCUCAUGGGCCCAAGGUUGACUCCCAUCCCUAGGGCAGGCCAGUGGCCCACAGGGCUCAUACAUGGCCCCUGGCCAAGCCUGUGGGCCCUGCCUGACCCCUACUGGGAGGAUGGUACCUAGGGUUGGAGCCAAACAAGUGUUCUCCUCCAGCGCCAGCCUGGCCCCGAGUGCAAACUCGUCACUGGUCAGGGGUCCGGACAGCAGCAUCCCUGAGGGCCCAGAGAGGUGGCCAGUCCUGUGGUGAGGUUGAGAGGGGUCAACGUGCUGGCGGUCCUUGCUUGCUCUCAGCGCCUCCUCGGCCUCAGCAUCUGCUCUGACCACACUUGAGGAGCCCUUCAGCCCAGCGCUGCACUGUAGGAGCCCCUCUCUGGGCUGGUGGAGGCUGGAGCCGGCUCCCUCUGCUUGUGGGGAGGUAUGGAGGGAGAGGCGUGGGCGGGAACCUGGGUUGCUCGCGGGCCAGCACCAGUUCUGGGUGGCCAGGGGCUCAGCGGGCCCUGCACUCACAGCGGCCGGCUGGUGCCUCCGGCCCCAGGCAGUGAGGGGCUUAGCACCUGGGCCAGCAGCUGCAGAGGGGGCGCCGGGUCCCCCAGUACUGCUGGCCGCCGGCACGCACCACACUUGAAUUGUCGCCAGGCCUCAGUUGCCUCCCCGCGGGGCAGGGCUCAGGACCUGCAGCCUGCCAUGCCCAAGCCUCCCUACGGUGGGCUCCCUGCAAGGCCCGAGCCUCCCGGAUGGGUGCCUCCCACUGCUCCACGGCACCUGGUCCCGUCCACUGCCCAAGGGCUGAGGAGUACAGGUGCCCAGUGUGGGACUGGCAGGCAGCUCUGCCUGUGGCCCUGGCAUAGGAUCCACUAGGCGAAGCUGGCUGGGCUCCUGAAUCAGGUGGGGACUUGGAGAACUUUUAUGUCUAGCCAGAGGAUUGUAUAUGCACCAAUCAGCACUCUGUGUGUAGCUCCGGGUUCGUGGAUGCACCAGUUAGCACUCUGUAUCUAGCUAAUCUGGUGGGGACUUGGGGAACCUUUAUUUCUAGCUAAAAGAUUGUAAAUACACCAAUCAGCACUCUGUGUCUAGCUCAAGGUUUGUAAACACACCAAUCAGCACCCUGUGUCUAACUCAAGGUUUGUAAACGCACCAAUCAGUGCUCUCUGUCUACUCUAUCUAGCUAAUCUAGUGGGGACUUGGACAACCUUUAUGUCUAGCUAAGGGAUUGUAAAUACACCAUUCAGCACUCUGUGUCUAGCUCAAGGUUUGUAAAUAUACCAAUCAGCACUCUGUGUCUAGCUCAGGGAUUGUAAAUGCACCAAUCAGCACCCUGUCAAAAUGGACCAAUCAACUCUCUGUAAGUGGACCAAUCCACUGUCUGUAAAAUGGGCCAAUCAGCAGGAUGUGGGUGGAGGGUCAGAUAAGGGAAUAAAAGCAGG